GGCUCGGUAGCUUAGUUGGUAAAGCACUAGUCUAGCGAAUAAGGGUCGUGAGUUCAAAUCUCACCUGAGCUG
rfam:Aedes albopictus isolate Foshan contig70823, whole genome shotgun sequence.